UCUCAAGACUAAGCCAUGCAUGUCCAAGUAUGAACGUUCCAUACUGUGAAACUGCGAAUGGCUCAUUAAAUCAGUUAUAGUUUAUUUGAUGGUUCCUUGCUACUUGGAUAACCGUAGUAAUUCUAGAGCUAAUACAUGCAGAAAGUCCCGACUCUCCGGGAAGGGACGUAUUUAUUAGAUCCAAAACCAGCGCGAGCUCCCUCCGGGGAACUCGGUUGCUCGGUGAUUCAUGAUAACUGCUCGAAUCGCAGGGCCCCCGUGCCGGCGAUGAUCCAUUCAAAUUUCUGCCCUAUCAACUUUCGAUGGUACGGUAGUGGCCUACCAUGGUUGCAACGGGUGACGGAGAAUUAGGGUUCGAUUCCGGAGAGGGAGCCUGAGAAACGGCUACCACAUCCAAGGAAGGCAGCAGGCGCGCAAAUUACCCAAUCCCGACUCGGGGAGGUAGUGACAAUAAAUAACAAUGCCGGGCCAGUUCGGUCUGGCAAUUGGAAUGAGCACAAUCCAAACCCCUUAACAAGGAGCAAUUGGAGGGCAAGUCUGGUGCCAGCAGCCGCGGUAAUUCCAGCUCCAAUAGCGUAUAUUAAAGUUGUUGCAGUUAAAAAGCUCGUAGUUGGAUUUCGGGGCGGCCCGGUCGGUCCGCCGCGAGGCGUGUACUGGUCGGGCGCCCUUCCUCUCGGAGGCCCCGGCUGCUCUUCGUUGCAGCGGUCGGGGAGUUCGGGACGUUUACUUUGAAAAAAUUAGAGUGUUCAAGGCAGGCURCCGCCUGAAUACAUUAGCAUGGAAUAAUGGAAGAGGACCUCGGUCCUAUUUUGUUGGUUUCCAGGGCCGAAGUAAUGAUUAAGAGGGACAGUUGGGGGCAUUCGUAUUUAAUUGUCAGAGGUGAAAUUCUCGGAUUUAUGAAAGACGAACAACUGCGAAAGCAUUUGCCAAGGAUGUUUUCAUUAAUCAAGAACGAAAGUUGGGGGUUCGA
rnacentral:rRNA from 1 species